AUCUCUACUCUCUCUCGUCUAUCUCUUUCUCUCCCAAAAUCAGAGAAACAAAUCUAUCUCUCAGCUCCCUCCUCUUCUCUAGAUCGGACUCUCACUCUCUUUCUCUCCUAAAUUUUCCCCAAUUUCAGAAAUAGCUUGGUUGCCCCUUCUCUCCAACCAGCCUCUCUCUCGCCACCACCGCCACUGUGCAUGCACAGGCAGCGGCCCUCCGGCCUUCCCCACUCCUCGCACUGCUGGAGCAGUUUCCCGAUGCCACCACGGUCGCUGCCUCCUCGCCGUUUUCCGACAGUGACCGAUCUCAAUCUGGGGUGUGGGGCUUCCACCGUCGUCGACGGGGUUCCUAAGACUUAUAUGUCUUUCUCUUAAUUGUAAUAGAUUAGAAUUUGCUAAAUUUGUACAAUAGGACUUUAUCGGGCUUCAGAUGGACGUGCCGGACGUUACAAACUUUUAUUUGGUUUUAUUAUUUAAGUUGUUCUUGCGGUGUUGAGCAGAGAUGGCAAAUGUGUUUCAGUAGUAUAAUGCUCGGAUGCAUCGUGUCUCCAUACACGGUGUCAUUCUCUCUUGACUCUUCCUCUUCCGCUGCACCUCUUCCGCUGCAGUGUAAAAGUCGAGCUUAUGUUCUUUUGUAUCAUGUACUAUUAUAUAUUUUUCAAGUUAUCCCAAGUUGAUUUCAUUCU